rnacentral:rRNA from 1 species
AAUGAACGCUAGCGGCAGGCCUAAUACAUGCAAGUCGAACGGUGUCUUCGGACAUAGUGGCGCACGGGUGCGUAACACGUAUGCAACCUACCUUACAUUGGGGGAUAGCCUUUCGAAAGGGAGAUUAAUACCGCAUAAGACAGUAGCUGGGCAUCCAGUAGCUGUUAAAGAUUUAUCGAUGUAAGCUGGGCAUGCGUCCAAUUAGUUAGUUGGUGAGGUAAUGGCUCACCAAGACGAUGAUUGGUAGGGGAACUGAGAGGUCAAUCCCCCACACUGGCACUGAGAUACGGGCCAGACUCCUACGGGAGGCAGCAGUAGGGAAUAUUGGGCAAUGGACGCAAGUCUGACCCAGCCAUGCCGCGUGCAGGAAGAAGGCGUUCUGCGUUGUAAACUGCUUUUAUAUAGGAAGAAACGACCCUUGCGAGGGGCAUUGACGGUAUUAUAUGAAUAAGCACCGGCUAACUCCGUGCCAGCCGCCGCGGUAAUAC